GACGAACGCUGGCGGCGUGCUUAACACAUGCAAGUCGAACGGAAAGGCCCUGCUUUUGUGGGGUGCUCGAGUGGCGAACGGGUGAGUAACACGUGAGUAACCUGCCCUUGACUUUGGGAUAACUUCAGGAAACUGGGGCUAAUACCGGAUAGGAGCUCCUGCUGCAUGGUGGGGGUUGGAAAGUUUCGGCGGUUGGGGAUGGACUCGCGGCUUAUCAGCUUGUUGGUGGGGUAGUGGCUUACCAAGGCUUUGACGGGUAGCCGGCCUGAGAGGGUGACCGGCCACAUUGGGACUGAGAUACGGCCCAGACUCCUACGGGAGGCAGCAGUGGGGAAUAUUGCACAAUGGGCGGAAGCCUGAGGCAGCAACGCCGCGUGCGGGAUGACGGCCUUCGGGUUGUAAACCGCUUUCGCCUGUGACGAAGCGUGAGUGACGGUAAUGGGGAAAGAAGCACCGGCGAACUACGU
rnacentral:rRNA from 1 species